rnacentral:tRNA from 1 species
AGACGCGCUAGCUUCAGGUGUUAGUGUCUUAACGGACGUGAGGGUUCAAGUCCCUCUCUUCGCACCAUUGCGGUGAUAUGAAAAGAC